rnacentral:rRNA from 1 species
CAAAGCACUUUGAAGAGAGAGUUAAAGAGGACGUGAAACCGGUGGGGUGGAAACGGAUAGAGCCAGCGAAUCUGGCCUGUAUUCAGCCAGUUGGUAUACGCCAACUGGUGCAUUUGCAGGUGGUGUGCGCUGAGACGGACGGGGCAGCGGUCUUAUGUCGGUGUAGGGGCUUCGUUUUCGGACGUUGAACUUUCACUUUCGGAGGACUGUUUGUGCUGUGUGUUAGACUAAGACCUAUGGUCGGUGAUUGGUACCAUACUCUGUGGUGUUGAGAGGCGGUCGCAUGCGACACGUGCUCAUCACUGCUUUGUGUGUUGCCAUUCACAGUUAGUCGCUCUCGGCGUAAAAGGUGGUCAUCUAUCCGACCCGUCUUGAAACACGGACCAAGGAGUUUAGCGUGUGCGCGAGUCAUUGAGUGUGAAACUCAUAGGCGUAAUGAAAGUAAAGGCUACUUGUAGCUGACAUGCGAUCUUGUGUAUUUCGGUAUAUGAGAGCAGCAUGGCCCCGUCCCGAUUGCUUGCAAUGGGGCGGAGGUAGAGCGUAUUCGCUGAGACCCGAAAGAUGGUGAACCAUGCCUGAGCAGGAUGAAGCCAGGGGAAACCCUGGUGGAAGUCCGAAGCGGUUCUGACGUGCAAAUCGAUCGUCUGACUUGGGUAUAGGGGCGAAAGACUAAUCGAACCAUC